CAGGAACAUUCGUUAAAUUGUUGACAUAAAAGAGAGAACUGGGAGGAGUAACAUUAAUGGAGUUUAAGCCUUUUCUAUGGCAUUUAGUACAUCACGAGAAACGCUUCGCAUUAAACAUAAAUAAAUAAACAGACGCAUAAUUUAUAUCGUCAUUCUAGGAAUUCACAGCCGAAAAAAAAAGAUCUCCGAGGAAAUUUACUGAAAUCAUGAGAUGAAUGAAUGCGCUCAUACCGGCAUUGGCCCUGCGCAAAGGGACUGUCAAGGGUUAAGUAAGGUUUCGAAAACAUUUUUUUUUUAAUUCCAUUUUUCCACUAGACUCGAAAAAUCCAGCCCUUUCAUUUCAAUUGAAUUUUGAUAAAAAUAUGUCGGACGUUUUGUCAGAAACUGGUACGGAUCUGCUGGCAUAAAAAGGAAUUGUCUAAGGACCGUUCUGGGGAAUCGCACGCACAGUGCGGCCUACGGAACCACUUCCUCCUCAUUUCCACAGGCCAGAUCGAAAUGCCGGAGAUCACCAAGAUUGACUCGCCAUCGACAUCUGGCAAAGAUACGCCAUCCUCCAGGACGAGGAGGACUUCCAGGCCGAACAGAAAAGACCAUUACAACAACAUUUACAAAUACAACUUCAUGCUUACAGACGAAGAAAUCGCUGAGGAUUUAGCUGUGAUAAGAAAAGCCUUGGAAGCGGUGGAAAAAUGAAAGUGAAACAUGUACAAAGUGGUUUUAACUGUUACACGAUAGCUAAACGCUAGUUAUGUAUAACCAUCUCUAAUAUAUUUAUUUGUUCUA